rnacentral:misc_RNA from 1 species
UGGAGAGAAGGAUCAUAGUGGAUCAGUGGGUUAUGUUGAGGACUACCAUGGCAUGAUGAUGAUGGGGAGUCAACAUCAUCAAGGACACGGGUAUGGCACCGGUGUAUACAAUCAUCAUACGGGGGAGAAUGCUGCAGGGGUUGGUACAGGAGGGUCGCGGUUUCCUGACGUUGGGAGGCAAAGGUGAAGCUGUGACAUCCGCGGACUACAAAGAUGUAUCAGGACGCGAUGUAUCAACUGUCAACAG